GCUGAGUGAUAAAAAGUGAAGAAAGCCUAAUUUUGCCCAGUGGGUGAUGGAUGAAAUAUUCCAUUUGCUUCACAGGAGGAGGCAGCUGUCUGCCCACCCAGGCAGAGAGAAAUGAUCCAUGGCAGAGUGGCAAGGGGUCUAGAGGACUGGCACUAAAGAAAAACCAAUAAUUCCAAGGACUCGGGAACUCACGGCAGGAAUCUCGCUGCAAAACCAACAGAAGCAGUGAGGAAAUUGCUCAGCACUGGCAACUGCAUCAGGCUCCCUUCAGCUGCUGGAGGCCCUGAUUUCAUCACCCUGAGCUGCACACCAGGAAAGAGGAAGUUUGACAGUGCACCACCACAACAAGCUCUCAGAAAGGAUCUGAUGCCAGCCUACAUUGCUAGCAGUGCAGCAGAACUCCUUGCUGUGAUGGAGAGAGGGGAUGUCAGGACUGUUAUUGACUUUCUGACUGCUUUUUGAGCCAUUUUCCAACCUCUUGCACAUUUUCUGUGCUUUAAUGAACAGAAGAUGCAGUCAGUGUCUUGGCAGCAGGCUUGGAGAGCCAGGAGCAGAGGGAGGCACUCACCUUCCUGGCCUGCUUUUCCCUACCACCAAGCAAUAAAGCACUCUUUAUUCCAUGAUGAUGUAAAUGUGCAAGCCUGUUGAUGUUGCUGGUGCACUAUCAGUGCUCUCUCCAGAGUCUGUGUCCCUGUACCUUUUUCUGCAAUAUUCCCAAACUAUGUCUCCUUGAGAUCUCUGCUUUACACCAGUGAAAAAAUCUGUGGGAUGCUACGAUAUUGACUAGCCAGUGGUCUUUUUCCUUUAUAACUAGCUGAUUUUAUAUGAUUUAACAACCUCAGAGCUACUUGGAAAUUAGAAAGAAAACUCAGCUCUACAACUGUAAAGCAUUAUUGUCUGGGACUUUGAGAUCAGCUGCUAAAGUCACGUGGAAAGAGUUACUUAACUGAAAAACCUGGCACCAAUGAGUUUAGAAAAGAGAACCUUUUCUAAAUGCCAGCAUUAUUAUGAGCUUAUGUUGAGAAGGAAUAUAUACAAAGGAAUUUUAUCUUGCAGAAAUAGAAAACAACCAAAACUACAAUGAAUUAAUUAAAGUCUUCAAGCAAAAGCAAAGCAUGUCCCUUAGAAAUACUGCUACACAGCAAGUUUAAUACUGGAGAAGAACUCCAUAUUGUUGGGCAGGGGAAGCAAAGAGUCUCUGAUACUCAUCCUGACCUGAUCAAUACUCAUCCAGGGAUCUCUGCCAUAAAUCUGUGCAAGCAGUGUGCACUGUCCUAGUGCAGAUACAGACCCAUUUCAGCAGCAAGUGUUCUGCCCCGUGCCUCCAACAUUAACCUUUUUCCAUUGGCCCAGCAUGGAGAAAAACUAAAAUCUAAGCCAGAAGUUUCUGCAGCUUUUUCAGGAGCACUCUCAACCUGAACAAAGAAUACUAACAAUACAUAGCCAGUACUAACAGUACCAGGCUCUGAGUGUCAUAGGAAGUGCACAGUUUCACUUUUGACCUGCCAUUUGCUCAGGAGCCAUAGG
rnacentral:lncRNA from 1 species